UACGUAGGGUGCAAGCGUUAAUCGGAAUUACUGGGCGUAAAGCGUGCGCAGGCGGUUGUGCAAGACAGAUGUGAAAUCCCCGGGCUCAACCUGGGAACUGCAUUUGUGACUGCACGGCUAGAGUGUGUCAGAGGGGGGGUAGAAUUCCACGUGUAGCAGUGAAAAUGCGUAGAGAUGUGGAGGAAUACCGAUGGCGAAGGCAGCCCCCUGGGAUAGCACUGACGCUCAUGCACGAAAAGCGUGGGGAGCAAACAGG
rnacentral:rRNA from 1 species